rnacentral:rRNA from 1 species
UACGUAGGUGGCAAGCGUUGUCCGGAAUUAUUGGGCGUAAAGCGCGCGCAGGUGGUUUCUUAAGUCUGAUGUGAAAGCCCACGGCUCAACCGUGGAGGGUCAUUGGAAACUGGGGAACUUGAGUGCAGGAGAGAAGAGUGGAAUUCCACGUGUAGCGGUGAAAUGCGUAGAGAUGUGGAGGAACACCAGUGGCGAAGGCGACUCUUUGGCCUGUAACUGACACUGAGGCGCGAAAGCGUAGGGAGCAAACAGG